rnacentral:misc_RNA from 1 species
GAUGAAGAACGUAGCGAAAUGCGAUAAGUAAUGUGAAUUGCAGAAUCCAGUGAAUCAUCGAAUCUUUGAACGCACAUUGCGCCCGCCAGCAUUCUGGCGGGCAUGCCUGUUCGAGCGUCAUUUCAACCCUCGACCUCCCUUUGGGGAAGUCGGCGUUGGGGACCGGCAGCACACCGCCGGCCCUGAAAUGGAGUGGCGGCCCGUCCGCGGCGACCUCUGCGUAGUAAACCAACUCGCACCGGAACCCNNACGUGGCCACGCCGUAAAACACCCAACUUCUGAACGUUGACCUCGAAUCAGGUAGGACUACCCGCUGAACUUAAGCAUAUCAAUAAGCGGAGGA